rfam:Anaerolinaceae bacterium 46_22 MPJ_scaffold_687, whole genome shotgun sequence.
UUUGCGGAGAGUUUGAUCCUGGCUCAGGAUGAACGUUGGCGGCGUGCCUAAUACAUGCAAGUCGAACGAAGAGCUUAAAGUAGCAAUACUUUGAUAACUCUUAGUGGCGAACGGGUGAGUAACGCGUUGGUGACCUACCCCAAAGAUAGGGAUAACAGUUCGAAAGGACUGCUAAUACCUAAUGUUAUCAUUUGGCUUAGAUGCCUUUUGAUUAAAGGAGCUUGCUCCACUUUGGGAGGGGCCUGCGUCCCAUCAGCUAGUUGGUAGGGUAAUGGCCUACCAAGGCUAUGACGGGUAGGGGACCUGAGAGGGUGGCCCCCCACAAUGGAACUGAAACACGGUCCAUACACCUACGGGUGGCAGCAGUAGGGAAUAUUGGUAAUCUGCGAAAGCGGGAACCAGCAACGCCGCGUGCGCGAAGAAGGCCUUCGGGUUGUAAAGCGCUUUUCGGGAGGAAGAGGAAGGACUGUACUCCCGGAAUAAGUCUCGGCUAACUACGUGCCAGCAGCCGCGGUAAUACGUAGGAGGCUAACGUUAUCCGGAUUUACUGGGCGUAAAGCGCGUGCAGGCGGUUCGUUAAGUUGGACGUGAAAGCUCCCGGCUCAACUGGGAGAGGUCGUUCAAUACUGGCGGACUUGAGGAUGGUAGAGGGAGGUGGAAUUCCGGGUGUAGUGGUGAAAUGCGCAGAUAUCCGGAGGAACACCAGUGGCGAAAGCGGCCUCCUGGACCAUUCCUGACGCUCAGACGCGAAAGCUAGGGUAGCAAACGGGAUUAGAGACCCCGGUAGUCCUAGCUGUAAACGAUGUGAACUUGGCGUCGGUGGGAUUAAAUCCAUCGGUGUCGAAGCUAACGCGAUAAGUUCACCGCCUGAGGACUACGGCCGCAAGGUUAAAACUCAAAGGAAUUGACGGGGACCCGCACAAGCAGCGGAGCGUGUGGUUUAAUUCGUUGCUACACGAAGAACCUUACCUGGGUUUGACAUAUAGGUUGUAGGGAACUGAAAAGGGACCGACCCUUCGGGGAGCCUAUACAGGUGUUGCAUGGCUGUCGUCAGCUCGUGUCGUGAGAUGUUCGGUUAAGUCCGCUAACGAGCGCAACCCUCGCCGUAUGUUAUACGUGUCAUACGGGACUGCCGGUAAAAAGCCGGAGGAAGGUGGGGAUGAUGUCAAGUCAGCAUGACCUUUAUAUCCAGGGCUACACACACGCUACAAUGGUCUGUACAAUUGGUUGCCAAGCCGCGAGGCGGAGCCAAUCCAUAAAGCAGGCCUCAGUUCAGAUUGCAGUCUGCAACUCGACUGCAUGAAGCCGGAGUUGCUAGUAACCGCAGGUCAGCAAUACUGCGGUGAAUACGUUCCCGGGUCUUGUACACACCGCCCGUCACGUCAUGGAAGCUGGCAACGCCUGAAGCCGGUAUCCUAACCCUCACGGGAAGGAGCUGUCUAAGGCGGGGUCGGUGACUGGGACGAAGUCGUAACAAGGUAGGUGUACCGGAAGGUGCGCCUGGAUCACCUCCUUU